rnacentral:rRNA from 1 species
UAACACAUGCAAGUCGAGGGGAAACGACAUCGAAAGCUUGCUUUUGAUGGGCGUCGACCGGCGCACGGGUGAGUAACGCGUAUCCAACCUACCCAUCACUUGGGGAUAACCUUGCGGAAGUAAGACUAAUACCCAAUGACGUCUCUAGAAGACAUCUGAAAGAGAUUAAAGAUUUAUCGGUGAUGGAUGGGGAUGCGUCUGAUUAGCUUGUUGGCGGGGUAACGGCCCACCAAGGCAACGAUCAGUAGGGGUUCUGAGAGGAAGGUCCCCCACAUUGGAACUGAGACACGGUCCAAACUCCUACGGGAGGCAGCAGUGAGGAAUAUUGGUCAAUGGGCGAGAGCCUGAACCAGCCAAGUAGCGUGCAGGAUGACGGCCCUAUGGGUUGUAAACUGCUUUUAUAAGGGAAUAAAGUGAGUCUCGUGAGACUUUUUGCAUGUACCUUAUGAAUAAGGACCGGCUAAUUCCGUGCCAGCAGCCGCGGUAAUACGGAAGGUCCGGGCGUUAUCCGGAUUUAUUGGGUUUAAAGGGAGCGUAGGCCGGAGAUUAAGCGUGUUGUGAAAUGUAGACGCUCAACGUCUGCACUGCAGCGCGAACUGGUUUCCUUGAGUACGCACAAAGUGGGCGGAAUUCGUGGUGUAGCGGUGAAAUGCUUAGAUAUCACGAAGAACUCCGAUUGCGAAGGCAGCUCACUGGAGCGCAACUGACGCUGAAGCUCGAAAGUGCGGGUAUCGAACAGGAUUAGAUACCCUGGUAGUCCGCACGGUAAACGAUGGAUGCCCGCUGUUGGUCUGAAUAGGUCAGCGGCCAACGAAAGCAUUAAGCAUCCCACCUGGGGAGUACGCCGGCAACGGUGCAACUCAAAUG